AUGGUUGUGCAAUCACAACUUAUGACUUUAACCUAUAAAGUGGAUAUGGACUUGCAAUUAUAACAUGGAAUCUCUACACACCCCAUGAGCUCGAUCCAAUCCACGCACACGAGUUGCCUGAGUAGCGACAGGUAUACCGAUGUGCAAUACGUAUCCGGCCACGGCACGGAACGAACGGGAACUGUGGUGCAGACAUACAAAGAGUUAAGCCUACUAGUCAUUAACUCUAAGGACGGGGCCAUGGGGCGGUACGCAAAGGAUACGGAUGAGCGAGUAUGCAGGCCCAAUACUCAAUAGCUCGAUCCGAUCCAAGCACAUGAGUUGACUGCGGCGCCAGGUUAACCAAUGUGCUAGAUUCUAUUUGGCCAGUAGAAUCUUGUGUCUUACGCGAUUUGAUACCAAGACACCAGAACGAAAGUUAGUUGAAGAGUGAUUAAACUCUUAUGAAGAAUGGUUGUGCAAUCACAACUUAUGACUUUAACCUAUAAAGUGGAUAUGGACUAUCAAUUAUAACAUGGGGCACACACCAUGUUCUCGAUCCAAUCCACGCACACGAGUUGCCUGAGUAGCGACAGGUAUACCGAUGUGCAAUACGUAUCCGGCCAUAGGCACGGAACGAACAGGAACUGUGGUGCAGACAUACAAGGGCCAUGGGGCGGUACGCAAAGGAUACGGAUGAGCGAGUAUGCAGGCCCAAUACUCAAUAGCUCGAUCCGAUCCAAGCACAUGAGUUGACUGCGGCGUCAGGUAUACCGAUGUGCAAUACGUAUCCGGCCACGGCACGGAACGAACGGGAACUGUGGUGCAGACAUACAAAGAGUUAAGCCUACUAGUCAUUAACUCUAAGGACGGGGCCAUGGGGCGGUACGCAAAGGAUACGGAUGAGCGAGUAUGCAGGCCCAAUACUCAAUAGCUCGAUCCGAUCCAAGCACAUGAGUUGACUGCGGCGCCAGGUUAACCAAUGUGCUAGAUUCUAUUUGGCCAGUAGAAUCUUGUGUCUUACGCGAUUUGAUACCAAGACACCAGAACGAAAGUUAGUUGAAGAGUGAUUAAACUCUUAUGAAGAAUGGUUGUGCAAUCACAACUUAUGACUUUAACCUAUAAAGUGGAUAUGGACUAUCAAUUAUAACAUGGGGCACACACCAUGUUCUCGAUCCAAUCCACGCACACGAGUUGCCUGAGUAGCGACAGGUAUACCGAUGUGCAAUACGUAUCCGGCCAUAGGCACGGAACGAACAGGAACUGUGGUGCAGACAUACAAGGGCCAUGGGGCGGUACGCAAAGGAUACGGAUGAGCGAGUAUGCAGGCCCAAUACUCAAUAGCUCGAUCCGAUCCAAGCACAUGAGUUGACUGCGGCGUCAGGUUAACCAAUGUGCAAUACGUAUCCGGCUACGGCACGGAACGAACAGGAACUGUGGUGCAGACAUACAAGGGCCAUGGGGCGGUACGCAAAGGAUACGGAUGAGCGAGUAUGCAGGCCCAAUACUCAAUAGCUCGAUCCGAUCCAAGCACAUGAGUUGACUGCGGCGUCAGGUUAACCGAUGUGCUAAGAGAGUUGUUCCUGGGCCUUCAAAGUGACUUCAAAACUAUCUUAGCGAAUGGUGGCCAUGGGCGUAGACAUGAGCCACAAGUCACAAGGCCUGGGACUAUUGGGUAAUAAAGACAACUUAGUCAGAAAGUUAGUCUUUGGAC